GCCGCUUCGUCAGAAGAGCAUGAGAUUGUCAAUCUCAGGGUUGUGGGUUUGAGCCCCAUGAUGGGCA